rnacentral:rRNA from 1 species
GAUGAACGCUGGCGGCGUGCCUAAUACAUGCAAGUCGAGCGAACAGACGAGGAGCUUGCUCCUCUGACGUUAGCGGCGGACGGGUGAGUAACACGUGGAUAACCUACCUAUAAGACUGGGAUAACUUCGGGAAACCGGAGCUAAUACCGGAUAAUAUAUUGAACCGCAUGGUUCAAUAGUGAAAGACGGUUUUGCUGUCACUUAUAGAUGGAUCCGCGCCGCAUUAGCUAGUUGGUAAGGUAACGGCUUACCAAGGCAACGAUGCGUAGCCGACCUGAGAGGGUGAUCGGCCACACUGGAACUGCGACACGGUCCAGACUCCUACGGGAGGCAGCAGUAGGGAAUCUUCCGCAAUGGGCGAAAGCCUGACGGAGCAACGCCGCGUGAGUGAUGAAGGUCUUCGGAUCGUAAAACUCUGUUAUUAGGGAAGAACAAGUGUGUAAGUAACUAUGCACGUCUUGACGGUACCUAAUCAGAAAGCCACGGUUAACUACGUG